CUUCAGUAGCACUUGGCUGCUCAACAGAAGCCUGCUCUAAACUAGCUCCCUUACAGCUCUCCAGGCCAUAAUUGAAACCUUAUGUGCAUCAGGUGGAAUUCUGGGGCUUUUUGGCGUCACACCAAAGAAUCCCAGAGUGUGUUAUUUUUAUUUCAUUUUUUUUCCCCAUUUCUCUUUCCUCUAGUGAGAGAGCUUGCUUUUACAUCAGCCCUUUUCCUCCUUCUUUCUCAGAAAGUCUAUCCCGGGAAGAAAGUAUAUUACAGUGUAAUAGACUUUGGAAUAAUUUUAUCCAGUCGAUUAUGGAAUAAUAUUCCCCUGGACUACUAAGGAUUUUGGGAAGGCAGUGAAAAGUGUUCAGCUCCUGCCUCUGAGAUGAAGGCUCUACAGAUAAGACAUUGUCUCCUGCUAUUCCUCCUCACUGCUGUAAGGACCCAAGUCAACCCAGGUGUGUGUCGGUAUCCUCUGGGUAUGACUGGAGGACAGAUUCUUGAUGAGGAUAUCUCUGCUUCUAGUCAGUGGUCAGAGUCUACAGCAGCAAGAUAUGGCAGAUUGGACUUUGACGAUGGAGAUGGUGACGGGGCAUGGUGCCCUAACAUCAUGGCAGAGACGGACGCAGGCGGCCCGAAGGAUUUCCUCCAGGUGGACCUGCGUUCGCUGCACUUCAUCACGCUCGUGGGCACCCAGGGUCGCCACGCCGACGGCAUGGGCAAUGAGUUUGCCCAGCGCUACCGCAUCAAGUACAGCCGUGACGGCAGCCGCUGGGUGGCCUGGCACGACAGGAAAGGCAGGCAGGUGAUCGAGGGGAACAUGAAUGCCUAUGACGUGGUGCUGAAGGACCUAGAGCCACCCAUCAUUGCCCGCUUCGUACGCUUCAUGCCAAUCACAGACCACUCCAUGAUCGUGUGCAUGAGGGUAGAGCUCUAUGGCUGUGAAUGGCUAGAUGGCCUGGUGUCCUACAGUGCUCCGGCCGGCCAGGAGAUGACCUACAGAGGCCUGGACGUCCACCUCAAUGACUCGGUCUACGAUGGAUCCAUGGGUCUACAGUCCGUUGGUAUGGAGGAAGGCCUGGGCCAGCUGACUGAUGGGACGUGGGGUCUUGAUGACUUCCUCCACAGUCACGUGUACGGCGUGUGGCCCGGAUACGAUUAUGUGGGUUGGACCAAUGAGAGCUUCCCUAAGGGCUACGUGGAGAUGACCUUCGAAUUUGACCGCGUCCGCAACUUCACCUCGAUGAAGGUCCACUGCAAUAACAUGUUCAGCCGUGGCGUGAGAAUGUUUCGGCAGGCCUCGUGUUACUUCCGUACGUCCGAGUUGGACUGGGAGUCCCAGCCAGUGUCCUUACGUCUCCCGGUGGACCAGGUCAGCCAGAGCGCCCGGUUCAUCACCGUGCCCCUGGGGGACCGCAUGGCCAGUGCCAUCAAGUGCCGCUUUGCCUUCAACGAGGCCUGGAUGAUGAUCAGCGAGGUGGCCUUCCAGUCAGCAGGGACAGCAGUUUAUAACACAUCUCCGACUCCCCGCAAACGUGGCCACCCGACAAAUGUUAUUCCAGGAGAUGACCCCAUCCACAAAGUGGAUGAAAGCAACACCCGGAUCCUGAUUGGCUGCCUGGUGGCCAUCAUCGUCAUCCUUUUGGCCAUCAUAGUCAUCAUUCUGUGGCGCCAGGUCUGGCAGAAGAUGCUAGAGAAGGCUUCGCGACGUAUGCUAGACGACGAGCUGUCGGCCCGUCUGGCCGUCCAAACCCAGGCCUUCUCUUUCCACCACUCGUCCCAGUCCAGCGGGGAAGGCUCCAACUCCACCUACGAGAGGAUCUUCCCCCUCUGCUCCUCUGACUACCAGGAGCCCUCCCGCCUCAUCCGCAAGCUGCCCGAGUUCGCCCAGUCCACUGAGGAGCUGGCAGGGACUAGCUCCUCCUCCAGACCACCCCAGGCCUGUGGAUCAGACGGGGCUCCCCACUAUGCCGAGGCAGACAUUGUGAGCCUGCAGGAGGGGACUACGGGCAGCAACACCUACUCCAUCACGGCCGUCAACAUGAGUCUGCUCUCUGGGAAGGACACGGCCAUGAGGGAGUUCCCCAGGGACAAGCUCACCUUUAAGGAGAAACUGGGAGAGGGACAGUUUGGAGAGGUGCACCUGUGUGAGGCCGAGGGCAUGCAGGACAUUGUGGAGAAGGAUCUGUCUGAAGAGGUCAAUGACCGUUCAAAUGAGGUAGAGGGCAGCGAUGACACACCUAUUCUGGUGGCUGUGAAGACACUGAGGGAGGACGCCAACAAGAACGCAAGGAAUGACUUCCUGAAGGAGAUCAGGAUCAUGUCUCGGCUGAGGGACCCUAACAUCGUCAGCCUGCUGGCAGUGUGUGUGGAGAGCGACCCCCUCUGCAUGAUCACGGAGUACAUGGAAAAUGGAGACCUUAACCAGUUCUUGUCCAGCCAUCAAUUGGACGAAGUGGAGGAGAUACAAUCUAGUGACAAAGCCACGGUCAGCUAUAGCAACCUGAUGAGCAUGGCUACACAGGUAGCCUCUGGGAUGAAGUACCUGUCCUCUCUCAACUUUGUCCACCGCGACCUGGCCACGCGCAACUGUCUGGUGGGCAAGAACUACACCAUCAAGAUCGCUGACUUCGGCAUGAGCCGGAACCUGUAUCGCGGUGACUACUACCGUAUCCAGGGGCGGGCCGUUCUUCCUAUUCGCUGGAUGUCAUGGGAGAGCAUCCUAUUGGUGAGGAGUUUUGGAGAGAGCUGAUAUUAGCUGGGUAAGUUCACCAUGGCCAGCGACGUGUGGGCUUUUGGUGUGACUCUGUGGGAGAUUCUGACCCUGUGUGAAAAGCAGCCCUACUCGCAGUUUUCCGACGAGCAGGUCAUCGAGAACACUGGCGAGUUCUUCAGGGACCAGGGCAAGCAGGUGUACCUGCCGAGGCCUGCCUGUUGCCCUGAUGCGGUCUAUAGCAGCCUGAUGCUGGGUUGCUGGAGGAGAAAUGCCAAACAGAGACCCACUUUUCAGGAGAUAUACAGCCAGCUUGGGGAGAGCCAGGAAUAGCAGCUCAUAUAUAGACCAUGAUUAUAUAAAGUGCUCUGGGGUAAAAGUUCCCCUAGGUACAGAUCUAGGAUCAGCUUCCCCUGCAAAACUAACUGAAGAUCAGCGUUUAGGGGCAACUUUAUCCUACACUUCACCCUUUUUUGUAACAUGGACCAACAUCUAUGGUCCUUCUACAUUUAAGGGACGGCAAAGUAUGGUCCUUCCUCCUUUGAGGAGCCCAUAUAUUAGAACUAGCACGUGAGAACUGACUGAAAACUGCAUGCAAUGUUCUAUUCAUCUCUCUCUCAGCCUUUUUCUCUCUCAAUUUGAGUUGACUCCCUAUAUCUCUAUUUGCCAGAGCCAUGUAUAUUUAUAUUAACAAUGUCUAUUGCACACUAUGAAAACACCAUCUCUCUCUCCCUCUGUCUCGCUCCAUCUCUCUCUCUCUCUCUCUCGCUCUCUCAAUCACAAUCUAGUUUUUAGCGUGUGGGACAGUUCUGUAAAAAAUUAUUCGUUAUGUCUGUGAUGAUAAAAUGUAGAAAUGCUGUGUCAGAUCGUGCACACCAGGAAAUGUAAUGUUGUUUAUAAUCUUCUAUUAUGAAGAUAAUAAUAAUAAUAAUAAUAAUGUGUAGAAAAUCUCCUUUUGGACUCAGAUAUUCAAGAAUGUAUCUGUUUGAUAUGUUUUUCUUUAUUCAUUUGAUGUUGUGAAAUGUGUUGUAUUUUGUCAAAGAUAAAUAGGUCCUUUGAGUUAAAUUUGUGCUUUGAAAUAGUGCAACUUCAUGCUUAACCUGCAUUUCUAUUGUUCGUGCAAGUUUUAUACUCUAAUUAGACAGUAGGCCUACUUAUGGUUUCAAUUAAUUUACUGAACAUUCUUCAACGUUCAAAACAAUUUUAAAAACUUUAAAAUGUUCAAAUAAAAAAAUAUGAUG